rnacentral:rRNA from 1 species
UACGGGGGGGGUAAGCGUUGUUCGGAAUUACUGGGCGUAAAGGGCUCGUAGGCGGCCAACUAAGUCAGACGUGAAAUCCCUCAGCUUAACUGGGGAACUGCGUCUGAUACUGGAUGGCUUGGAUUCGGGAGAGGAAUGCGGAAUUCCAGGUGUAGCGGUGAAAUGCGUAGAUAUCUGGAGGAACACCGGUGGCGAAGGCGGCAUUCUGGACCGAUAUUGACGCUGAGGCACGAAAGCGUGGGGAUCAAACAGG